ACAAGCAAGCAUUGAGGGUUACUAUAACUGCGCAAGCAGCACCUUGGCGGAAACAAAGAUUGUUUAGGGGUGAAGGAAAGGGGCUUCCUGUCACUGCAUGCCUUUUGAUGUAGGGCAGUGCCACUGGGAACCCCAGCAACAGGACAGCCCUGCCUGCCUGGCCGGUUCAGGAGCCCUGCCAGACAAAAUUGUUGCAAACCUAUGGAUAUGACAAAGCCUCUAUAUAGCACUAGCAUGUAUGUGUACAGCUUUAAGGGAAGGAAUCUUAAAGGAGAUCCUGAAGAGAACUGAGGAAUGGAGAAGACCUUAUCGGACAUUUGUAUAAAUAUCUCUGUACCUAAUAAAGUUUAAUUAUACUAGCUAA